UGGGGAAUUUUGGACAAUGGGCGAAAGCCUGAUCCAGCAAUGCCGCGUGUGUGAAGAAGGCCUUCGGGUUGUAAAGCACUUUUGUCCGGAAAGAAACAGCCUGGGAUAAUACCCCGGGCGACUGACGGUACCUGCAGAAUAAGCACCGGCUAACUACGUGCCAGCAGCCGCGGUAAUACGUAGGGUGCAAGCGUUAAUCGGAAUUACUGGGCGUAAAGCGUGCGCAGGCGGUUCGGAAAGAAAGGUGUGAAAUCCCAGGGCUUAACCUUGGAACUGCACUUUUAACUACCGAGCUAGAGUACGUCAGAGGGGGGUAGAAUUCCACGUGUAGCAGUGAAAUGCGUAGAGAUGUGGAGGAAUACCGAUGGCGAAGGCAGCCCCCUGGGAUGAUACUGACGCUCAUGCACGAAAGCGUGGGGAGCAAACAGGAUUAGAUACCCUGGUAGUCCACGCCCUAAACGAUGUCAACUAGCUGUUGGGGGUUUAUUAACCUUAGUAGCGCAGCUAACGCGUGAAGUUGACCGCCUGGGGAGUACGGUCGC
rnacentral:rRNA from 1 species